rnacentral:rRNA from 1 species
UACGAAGGGGGCUAGCGUUGCUCGGAAUCACUGGGCGUAAAGCGCGUGUAGGUGGCUUGGUGUGUCAGAUGUGAAAGCCCUGGGCUCAACCCAGGAACUGCACCUGAAACUACCAGCCUUGAGUGGUGGAGAGGGAAGUGGAAUUCCUGGUGUAGAGGUGAAAUUCGUAGAUAUCAGGAGGAACACCGAUGGCGAAGGCAGCUCGCUGGGACGGUACUGACGCUGAGGCGCGAAAGCGUGGGGAGCGAACAGG